UUUAUACUGUGAAACUGCGAAUGGCUCAUUAUAUCAGUUAUAGUUUAUUUGAUAGUAUUUUACUACUUGGAUAACCGUAGUAAUUCUAGAGCUAAUACAUGCGUUAAUUCCCAACUGCUUGCGCGGACGGGAUGUAUUUAUUAGAUAGAAACCAAUGCGCUUUCGGGCGGUAUUGUGGUGAAUCAUAAUAACUUUGCGAAUCGUAUGCCCUUGUGGUGACGAUGAAUCAUUCAAGUUUCUGCCCUAUCAGCUGUCGAUGGUAGGGUAUUGGCCUACCAUGGCAUUAACGGGUGACGGANAAUUAGGGUUCGAUUCCGGAGAGGGAGCCUGAGAGACGGCUACC
rnacentral:rRNA from 1 species